rnacentral:rRNA from 1 species
GAUAAACGCUGGCGGCAUGCCUAAUACAUGCAAGUCGAACGCACCAGCAAUGGUGAGUGGCGAACGGGUGAGUAACACGUAAGUAACCGACCCCAACGACGAGGAUAACGGCUGGAAACGGCCGCUAAAACUGGAUAGGACGCGGACACAGAAGUGACUACGUUUAAAGGUGCUGAAAGGCACUGCGAUGGGACGGGCUUGCGGCGCAUUAGCUAGUUGGGGAGAUAACGGCUCACCAAGGCAACGAUGCGUAGCAGCGCUGAGAGGCGGAACUGCCACACUGGGACUGAGACACGGCCCAGACUCCUACGGGAGGCAG